UUGAUACUGGGGCAGGAGCAGUGUAAGCAGCACCGUCAGGGCAGUGGGGACCAGCAGCAGGCUUUUCGAGAGAGGGGCUUUAUCUGUGAUUUCGCUGUUCAGGGUUUAAUGAAAACACGAUUGUCUUUCACUGAGUUAAUUUGGAAGCUCCGGUGGCCAGCUGUCUACACUGCGGGAAUGAAAAGAGACAGUCUAAGCUGCUACAGUGCGGCGCAGAAGCGCUUCCUUGGAACGGCAGCAGAAGCACCUCGGCCCAAGCUUGACGCGGGCCAUCUCCAUCGCUGAGCGCUAGGGAUUUUCAAAAGCUAAUCAUGUAAUUGGACACAAUAGUCAAUGACUAAUGGAGACCAGCCAGCUGUGACUUCUGUGAGCGCAUUGUUAGCUGUUAUGAAUAUGAAGACAGCCUUAUUAGCGUCCACUCCUCGGCGCAGUCUCUCACCAAAAUAAAUUGACGAAAUUAUUGUGGCGUUCAUAAAACUGAUGUGUAUCGUAGGACACUAUAGCCUAUACACCCAUGCUAUUUCAAAUAGACAUACAUGUGACAUUAACCUAUGAGCAUCAGACUUGU